UACGAAAGGGGCUAGCGUUGUUCGGAAUCACUGGGCGUAAAGGGCGCGUAGGCGGCUUUAUAAGUCGGGGGUGAAAGCCUGUGGCUCACCACAGAAUUGCCUUCGAUACUGUAGAGCGUUGAGACCGGAAGAGGUAAGUGGAACUGCGAGUGUAGAGGUGAAAUUCGUAGAUAUUCGCAAGAACACCAGUGGCGAAGGCGGCUUA
rnacentral:rRNA from 1 species